ACCUCUCUUCACCACAUUACUCACUUCUCCAUUUCUCCAAAUCUGAGCUCAAACUGUGAAUUUGGAGAUGUUGGUUGGUAGAAUUGUAUGUCGUUUCCCAAAAGCUGUCGUAACUCAGUGCCGGAGCUCGUUGCUUCUCUAUUCCCGAGAACAGCAACAGCAACAGCAACAAUACGUUCCCAUUCUUGCAUCUGAGUUCCACUCCUUUCGCGAAUUCAAAGAGAAGGUUACUCUAUUUCAUGAAUCUGUCUUGCAACGGUUUUGGAUUUCAUCCUCUGCAUCCCCCCAACAUAAUGAAAAAGAGGCAUCUCAGUCCCAAAGCAAACCAGGAAGCACAAAAGAGAAUGGAGAAGUGAGUGAAAAAUGUGAAGCUUCAGUUUCUGCUGAUUCUCAGGGUCAAGAUGAGAAUGAUGAAUCAGGUCCUGAUUUGGCAUCCAAUGAUAACACAAAUGAAAAUGUCAAACGAAGAAGAAGACGUACUAAACAAGCUGUAUCUUCUGAUUCUGAUUCUGAUUUAGAUACGGAGGACCUUUCUAGGGAUGACUUGGUGAAACUAGUGGCUGAGAAGGAAGAACUCCUAAAGAUAAAAGAUGAUGAGUUUCAGAAAAUGAAAGAAAAAGCUCUUAGAUCCUAUGCGGAGAUGGAGAAUGUAAUGAACAGAACCAAACGAGAAGCAGAAAAUUCCAAAAAGUUUGCCAUUCAAAAUUUUGUGAAAUCUCUUCUAGAUGUUGCUGAUAAUAUGGAACGGGCUUCUUCUGUUGUAAAAGAGAGCUUCUCCAAAAUUGAUGAAUCUAAGGAUACUGUUGGUGCUGUGCCACUUCUGAAGACACUUCUGGAAGGUGUUGAAAUGACUGAUAAACAGCUUUCCGAGGUAUUCAAAAAAUUUGGUGUGGGAAAAUAUGAUCCUACAAAUGAAGAAUUUGAUCCAAAUAAGCAUAAUGCAGUGUUUCAAGUACCAGAUCCUAAAAAGGCUCCUGGCAUGGUCGCUGUCUGCCUCAAGUCGGGGUACACCUUGCAUGACCGAAUCAUUCGGCCAGCUGAAGUUGGUGUGACGGUAGCCAUGGAGAGUACGAAGGCAGAUUGAAGAACUGAAGCUUAAACAGAUUGACCAAAGGAAUUCGUACGAGUAAUCGAGUGGCGAGCUUGGUAAUUCGACAGGAGUACUAGAGCUUAGGUGGUAUUGAAGAGGAUUUCAAUUAACUAGAGAGUGAUUUGGUAGCAUCUGGUGAGCCCGACAUUGCUUCGCGCGGCAAGAGAACUAUUGAUUUGCUGUGGUUUAUUUAGUUUCUUUAAAAACUCUUAGAGUCUCUCCAUUUGUCAUUCCUUUGAUUUGAGUCAGGAUUAGUCCUUCGAAUUGUAGUCAAGUGACUAGUUUGGAAUUUUUUCCGUAAUUUGCAGAUGAAUUGGUUUUAUUGCGUGACAAUUAGAUCAUUGAUGGA